rnacentral:rRNA from 1 species
UACAGAGGUCUCAAGCGUUGUUCGGAUUCAUUGGGCGUAAAGGGUGCGUAGGCGGCGCGGUAAGUCGGGUGUGAAAUCUCGGAGCUUAACUCCGAAACUGCAUUCGAUACUGCCGUGCUUGAGGACUGGAGAGGAGACUGGAAUUUACGGUGUAGCGGUGAAAUGCGUAGAUAUCGUAAGGAAGACCAGUGGCGAAGGCGGGUCUCUGGCCAGUUCCUGACGCUGAGGCCGGAAGGCCAGGGAGCAAACGGG